rnacentral:lncRNA from 1 species
AUUCAUCCAUGUACAAGAAAGCUCAGUACUCUCUGUACUUGUGAGAAGAUGAUGCCACAACAGGCAGAAAAGGUAAGUAGACUCAAGAGUACCAAAGUGGUGGAGAAGGGGGAGAGUUUUAGACAUCCACUUUUUGUAAUCUGCUCACCUGUCUUCUUGCCCUAAAAUAAUAAAUACUAAAAUCCUUAAACUAACCACAUUCCUACUCUUCCUGGUCAACAUCUAAACAUACCUAUGCUUCUGUGAAAACCAAGGUUCGCUUUCAUGUCACUCUCAAUGAGGAAAAAGUCAAUUGACCUUGAAGGGAGAAACUUUGAAAAUAUACACGUUGUAAAAGUAAGGGGCUCAAAGCACCUAUCCUGUGACACAUCUGUUCCAAGCUGCUCUUUGAGAUUGACUAAAGGGUUGGCUACAGGGUUGUUUUAGGUGAAAAGCAAAGAAUCCAUGGAGGCACACUGAGUGCAAUGCAAGAGGCUAUCUAACCUCACUCCCACUCUGUGAGAGAUGAAGAGGGAGUCAAACAGAUUAAAAUGUUCUUUGCAAGAUUGUGUAGAAGACAAUAAAAGAAUUGAUGAGGACAUGCCAAAAUGUCAGAAAGAAAAAUCUUAGAUGGGGACUCGGGGCUUUGGGUAUGAAUAGUUUGGGGGUAAGUAAACCUUGAUGUCUAGGAUUUUAUUCUUCUGUAAGGAAGAGAACAGACAGAGGAGGUAACUCUGUGAGAGACCAUUUGCAGCAUAACAUGCACUAUUGUCUGUUACAGAAGGACUCACUUACAAGAAAAUUCAGUGCUCCUGAAAAGACUCCACAGGAACCAGAAAGUGAGGAAGAUGAAAUAUGCAACCUAACGGAGGGAAAUGAGAGUCUCCAAGAUGCCCUGAGACGAUAUACAAUACAGUUGGGGUCAGCUACAAUCAAGCUUGAGGCUGGUGAGAAGGAGAGAGAGCAAAAGGAAAAAGAGAGAGAUUUACCUGCAAGGAAAUCCUGUGCUGCUGUGAAGAUGAUGCCAUGUAAGAUAGAAAAGGUGAGCAGACUGAAAAAUACCAAAGAUAUAAGGAAGAAGGACAAUUCUAGAAAAAAAAAUCUCUGUAGUCUGAUCAACCAUUAUGUUUCCAAGACCUGUCACUGA